rnacentral:rRNA from 1 species
CCCUUAGAUGUUCUGGGCCGCACGCGUGCUACACUGAACGGUUCAAUGGGUGAGGUAGUGCGAAAGCAUGACCCAAUCUCAAAAUCCGUUCGUGCUGGGGAUAGAAGCUUGCAAUUCUCCUUCUUGAACGAGGAAUACCUUGUAAGCGCGAGUCAUCAUCUCGCGCUGAAUACGUCCCUGCCCUUUGUACACACCGCCUGUCGCUCCUACCGAUUGAGUGGUCCGGUGGGGCUUCGGGAGAGCUAAAUGGAUUGUGUUUCACAAACUAUUUGGCUUGAACUUAGUCAAACCUUACUACUUAGAGGAAGGAGAAGUCGUAACA